rnacentral:snRNA from 1 species
UUGGAGUGGGACCUCUCAUCGAACUCACCUCUUGCCUUUUACCAGAUGUGACCGUGGGAUUGGCCCAGUACACUCCAUUCUGCUAAUCUUUGGCCCCACUUCGUCUGGAGU